AUUGAACGCUGGCGGCAGGCUUAACACAUGCAAGUCGAGCGGAGAUGAGGUGCUUGCACCUUAUCUUAGCGGCGGACGGGUGAGUAAUGCUUAGGAAUCUGCCUAUUAGUGGGGGACAACAUUCCGAAAGGAAUGCUAAUACCGCAUACGUCCUACGGGAGAAAGCAGGGGAUCUUCGGACCUUGCGCUAAUAGAUGAGCCUAAGUCGGAUUAGCUAGUUGGUGGGGUAAAGGCCUACCAAGGCGACGAUCUGUAGCGGGUCUGAGGGGAUGAUCCGCCACACUGGGACUGAGACACGGCCCAGACUCCUGCGGGAGGCAGCAGUGGGGAAUAUUGGACAAUGGGGGGAACCCUGAUCCAGCCAUGCCGCGUGUGUGAAGAAGGCCUUAUGGUUGUAAAGCACUUUAAGCGAGGAGGAGGCUACUGAGACUAAUACUCUUGGAUAGUGGACGUUACUCGCAGAAUAAGCACCGGCUAACUCUGUGCCAGCAGCCGCGGUAACAC
rnacentral:rRNA from 1 species